UUCUGGUGACUCUGGAGGCUGAGAAUUCACUUGCAAAUGCCAAUAACCGAGAGCGCCCGCGACGGGCGGUUCCAUGGUGUAAUGAUUUUAUGCCGAAUUUCUAGCUCCUACGUCUCUACUGCGGGAUCUUUGUCGCUGUUUCACUAAGCUUUGGAACCUGAGUCUGGAAAUCUCAUUCUUUGGUCCCAAGAUCUCAGCUGGAAAGAGAAAUCCGCGCAGUGGCCUCUUAAGCUCGCGGGCUGGGAGUCCUGGUCCUGAUCCUCCGCAGCCUGGAAGGAGCUCCCGCAGGGCCGCAGGGAAGAGGAGGCUGAGCAGCCCAGAGGGAUGAGUGUCGGACGCUGGGGCUCCCCCUCGACGGCCAGGACCCGGCCCCAAGGAGAAGACGACGCCUUAGGACCAGACAGAUGCAAAAAUGUUUUCUUCUGCCCUGCAGAACACUUUGGAUGAGGCUCGUGAGUGGGUGUUGAGAGCGAGCUAAGAUGUCCCUCCAGGCGCCCAGGACCAUCACUCUGAUUUUCAUAUUUUGAAGAUAUGAGAAUUUUCAGCAGUUACAAAGGACGGAAAAACACAACAGUCCUUGAGGGGGUCAGUUUGGAGGGUGUGGGGAGGUGUGAUGGGGGGUGGGAGAGAGGUGCCUUGUCGGCUCCCUGGAGUGGACCGGCAGGAGGGAAAACACACACUCCUUUUCCCCUUCGGGCUGGACUGAAGGGCCUGGGAUGGAAAAUUGCACAGCCAAAGUGUAGCACGUGCAUUGAAAGUUGUUAUCCCUAGA